rnacentral:rRNA from 1 species
UACGAAGGGUGCAAGCGUUGUUCGGAUUUAUUGGGCGUAAAGCGCGCGCAGGCGGAUUCAUCAGUCAGGUGUGAAAUCUCGGGGCCCAACCCCGAAACUGCGCCUGAAACUAUUUAUCUAGAGUAAUCCAGAGGGAAGGGGAAUUUCACGUGUAGGGGUAAAAUCCGUAGAGAUGUGAAGGAACACCAGAGGCGAAGGCGCCUUCCUGGGGAUUAACUGACGCUGAGGCGCGAAAGCGUGGGGAGCAAACAGG